GAUGAACGCUGGCGGCGUGCUUAACACAUGUAAGUCGAACGAAGCACUUUAACCUGAUUCUUCGGAUGAAGGUUUUUGUGACUGAGUGGCGGACGGGUGAGUAACGCGUGGGUAACCUGCCUCAUACAGGGGGAUAACAGUUAGAAAUGACUGCUAAUACCGCAUAAGACCACAGAGCCGCAUGGCUCGGUGGGAAAAACUCCGGUGGUAUGAGAUGGACCCGCGUCUGAUUAGGUAGUUGGUGGGGUAACGGCCUACCAAGCCAACGAUCAGUAGCCGACCUGAGAGGGUGACCGGCCACAUUGGGACUGAGACACGGCCCAAACUCCUACGGGAGGCAGCAGUGGGGAAUAUUGCACAAUGGGGGAAACCCUGAUGCAGCGACGCCGCGUGAGCGAAGAAGUAUUUCGGUAUGUAAAGCUCUAUCAGCAGGGAAGAAAAUGACGGUACCUGACUAAGAAGCACCGGCUAAAUACGUG
rnacentral:rRNA from 1 species